GGCAGUGUAACAGGUUGUAUAAUGAAGCACACACAAGACACUGUGAUUGAAGGGACAAGGAGUGAAUGACAGCCAGUCAAGGAAGGCUUUCGAGUGGAGGCUGAGACAGAUCUUAAUGGAUGAGUCAGAUGGAGAAGUGCAUUCCAGAGGAGAGAAGAGCAAUCAUAAAAGAGACAACCCUUGGGGCUGGCUAUUAGCUCCGCGGAUAGGAGGUGGAGUCUUGAGAGCUAAAGUCACCUGUCCAGUGUCACAGAGCGAAUGGCCGACAGAGCCAGGAUUCAGCUCACAUCUACUGAGUCUAGAGCCUGGGUUCUAACCAAGCUCUCCUAAGCUCUAUGCUGUGAUGGACACAAAGGAUGAGCAGGAAAUCCAGGCUGGAGUCACACUGGAAAGGAGUUUGUUAUAAUUCGAAAACAACAUAAACUUAGCUCUUCCAGCAUUUUAUGCAGGAAGAAUCAAUGUAAGUGACAACACUGUGAACAGUGGAUUGCAGGGGAGAUGCUGAGAGCCAGGCUGUGCUUUCCCAAACUGCCAGAUGUCAGUUCCUGGACCCUGGACAGAGCUUGGGCAGUCAAAGCCUGCUUUUCCAUCUGGCUUCCUUCCUGCCCAGAGCUCCUCUCAAGAAACAUGGCACACCCAGAGUUCUCAGUUCUCCAAUUCUGGCUCUCCUCGACUUGCCGGAUUCUACCACCAUCCAAUUUCUCUUCGGAAUCAG